UACGAAGGGGGCUAGCGUUGUUCGGAAUUACUGGGCGUAAAGGGCGCGUAGGCGGCGAACCAAGUCAGAUGUGAAAGUCCUGGGCUUAACCUGGGGACUGCAUUUGAUACUGGUUUGCUUGAAUUCGGGAGAGGAUAGCGGAAUUCCCAGUGUAGAGGUGAAAUUCGUAGAUAUUGGGAAGAACACCGGUGGCGAAGGCGGCUAUCUGGACCGACAUUGACGCUGAGGCGCGAAAGCGUGGGGAGCAAACAGG
rnacentral:rRNA from 1 species